UUUUGCUUUUCCAGUGCUUAACUGCGCAGGAAAACAAAAACCUUUCACACAUGUUUUUUUAUAAAUUUGAUAUAUUGCUUUGGUUUGGCUUAGAAAUAAGCUGGGCCAGAGGUUUUACCAAACAAAAAUUCUUUAUUGAAUAUUUUAUUUUAACUUAUAGUCAACCGUUUUUAAUAAUAAUUUAAAACUUUCAACAACGGAUCUCUUGGUUCUCGCAUCGAUGAAGAACGCAGCGAAAUGCGAUACGUAAUAUGAAUUGCAGAUUUUCGUGAAUCAUCGAAUCUUUGAACGCACAUUGCGCCCUUUGGUAUUCCAAAGGGCAUGCCUGUUUGAGCGUCAUUUCUCUCUCAAAUCCUAGGAUUUGGUAUUGAGUGAUACAUCAUUAUUUGGCGUUAACUUGAAAUAUAGUUGGAGGCUAACCCAAAGGAAAUGAAUUCUUUUAAUUCUCAAUGUAUUAGGUUUAUCCAACUCGUUGAGCUAAAGAAUUUAUGGAAAUUGGGAUUAUUAGUCGCAUUAUAAAACUAAUUCUAAGUUUGACCUCAAAUCAGGUAGGACUACCCGCUGAACUU
rnacentral:rRNA from 1 species